GCCCGCCAUACAACCUAGGUGCUACGAGUAUAAAUCCAAUAUUUCAGCUCUACCCCGAUGCCUUCUUAGAAGAAUUUCGGGUCCAUUCCAAACGAAAACAGAACGUUGGUCAGCACAGUAAAAACAAACAGCACUAACUGCAACCUCGUCUAACCGUGCGAGAGAUCGGGAGCUCGGCCGUGACACGGCGACGCGCGAGGCGUGCGGCGUGCGUACGCCAGAAAUUCGUUCAUUGAUAAAAAGCCGCCC